rnacentral:rRNA from 1 species
UACGUAGGGGGCAAGCGUUGUCCGGAAUCAUUGGGCGUAAAGCGCGCGUAGGCGGCUCGAUCAGUCUGCUGUGAAAGUCAAAGGCUCAACCUUUGAAUGCCGGUGGAUACUGUCGAGCUAGAGUCCGGAAGAGGCGAGUGGAAUUCCUGGUGUAGCGGUGGAAUGCGCAGAUAUCAGGAAGAACACCAAUGGCGAAAGCAGCUCUCUGGGGACGGUACUGACGCUGAGACGCGAAAAGCGUUGGGGAGCGAAACAGGG